CCUGGGCUCCGCGUGGGCUGACCCCGGGCGGGCUGCGAGCUCCUACGUGGGCUAGAGAAAGCGGGCUCCUCGGUUGUCAUGGCAGCGACGUCGCGGCAGGGAAUGCGUGUCGAAGAGCGACCUCAUGGGAAAUGUAGUUCUCUGCCUUCAGAUCAUAUCUCAACCUCUAGGAUGCCAGAAGGGUAUGUUUUCUUCCAUGUGAAUGAAACAACGCCACACGGAAGACACAAUGAAUGCCUGAGGAGGUGAUAACUGCCACUCCCUCUGAAGCACACCCCAGCUUUGACAACGAAAACAUUAGUCAACAGAAAGAAUGAACCUCAAAGCCCAGUCAAGCUGAUUGACAAUGCUGGGAAAUGUGCCGGUCUGCAUUAAGAAUUUUAGAGCAUCAUAUCGAUUCUACUAAAAACAAGCACCGAAGUUACUGUGAUCUUUUGUACUCUACGGUUAACUGCUCUCGCUUAAAACACAGAACUAACUAGUCAGAGCAGGUAUCUACCAUGAGACAAACAAACGGACUUGAGAAAUGCCUAGCUUCGGAUCCCUAGGACCCACGGGGAGUGGAAAGAGAGAAAUGACGCCAAGUUGUCUCUGACUUCCAUAGUGUGCUGUGGCAUGCACACAGAGACACACAUGUAACAUAGACACUGAAAUAAACUUUUUUUUAAAA